rnacentral:rRNA from 1 species
CCUACGGGUGGCAGCAGUAGGGAAUAUUGCUCAAUGGGGGAAACCCUGAAGCAGCAACGCCGCGUGGAGGAUGAAGGUUUUCGGAUUGUAAACUCCUUUUGGUAGAGAAGAGAAGGACGGUAGCUAACGAAUAAGCACCGGCUAACCCCGUGCCAGCAGCCGCGGUAAUACGGAGGGGGCAAGCGUUAUCCGGAAUGACUGGGCGUAACGGGUGCGUCGGUGGGUUAGUAAGUUGGCGGGUUACUUCCGGGCUCAACCUCGGCGCUCCCGCCCACACUAUUAGACUAGAGUGCAGGAGGUGUCAGUGCAAUUCCUCGUGUAGCGGUGGUAUGCGUAGAUAUUAGGAGGAACCUCAGGGGCGAAGGCGACUUACUGGACUGUAACUGACACUGAGGCACUAACGCGUUGGGAGCAAACAGGAUUCGAUACCCUUGUAGUC